UGGGUUUCAUUCGUGUGAUGUGAGAUUGGGCUGUGAAAAUUUAAACUGUGUCCGGCCCGAUAGAAUGGAUGAUGUCUCUGACCCUAAUACGGUCGUCUCUUCCACUUCGUGCGACGGUGAUUUGAUGCCGUUUGCGUUUCUUCCCAUGAUCUGAAACGUUCCGAGUAAAGGCUUCGUGUUUAAUCCCUUUGAUCUGAAAAGUGGUGUUUGUUCUGUAUAAAUAUGUAUGCCUCGGUGAUUCUGUGGUGGUACUCUCUACCCGUGUUGAAGGUUUUCUGGUCUGUUCUGAUAUCUCUCUAUGAAGUUGGAAGCUCGAGCCUCUUCUUGCCUCUCGGUGGUGGUUUUGUGCCACCGAAUAUUUCUUGCGGCGAAUAACCGUUGACGGUGGCUUCUUUGCCAAGACUGCAAAUCUUGAACGUGUCAUAAGAUCAGAGCUUUUGGUCAGGGUCAACAGCUAUGGC